GAUGAAGAACGCAGCGAAAUGCGAUACUUGGUGUGAAUUGCAGAAUCCCGUGAACCAUCGAGUCUUUGAACGCAAGUUGCGCCCGAAGCCAUCAGGUUGAGGGCACGUCUGCCUGGGCGUCACAUAUCGUUGCUCGAUGCCUAUCGCAUUGCGAUAGGACUUAGGGCGAAUGAUGGCUUCCCGUGAGCGUUGUUGCCUCGCGGUUGGUUGAAAAUCGAGUCCUUGGUAGGGUGUGCCAUGAUAGAUGGUGGUCGAGUUGGCACGAGACCGAUCAUGUGCAUGCUCCCCAAAAUAUGGCCUCUGUGACCCACACGCGUCUUUUGACGCUCAUGACGAGACCUCAGGUCAGGCGGGGCUACCCGCUGAAUUUAAGCAUAUCAAUAAGCGGAGGA
rnacentral:misc_RNA from 1 species